rnacentral:rRNA from 1 species
GUGGGGAAUUUUGGACAAUGGGCGCAAGCCUGAUCCAGCAAUGCCGCGUGCAGGAAGAAGGCCUUCGGGUUGUAAACUGCUUUUGUACGGAACGAAAAGGCUCUGGUUAAUACCUGGGGCUCAUGACGGUACCGUAAGAAUAAGCACCGGCUAACUACGUGCCAGCAGCCGCGGUAAUACGUAGGGUGCAAGCGUUAAUCGGAAUUACUGGGCGUAAAGCGUGCGCAGGCGGUUUUGUAAGACAGGCGUGAAAUCCCCGGGCUCAACCUGGGAAUUGCGCUUGUGACUGCAGUGCUGGAGUACGGCAGAGGGGGAUGGAAUUCCGCGUGUAGCAGUGAAAUGCGUAGAUAUGCGGAGGAACACCGAUGGCGAAGGCAGUCCCCUGGGCCUGUACUGACGCUCAUGCACGAAAGCGUGGGGAGCAAACAGGAUUAGAUACCCGAGUAGUCC